rnacentral:rRNA from 1 species
AUUGAACGCUGGCGGAAUGCUUUACACAUGCAAGUCGAACGGUAGAGGGGGCAACCCCUCGAGAGUGGCGAACGGGUGAGUAAUAUAUCGGAACGUGCCCAGUCGUGGGGGAUAACGUAGCGAAAGUUACGCUAAUACCGCAUACGAUCUAAGGAUGAAAGCGGGGGAUCGCAAGACCUCGCGCGAUUGGAGCGGCCGAUAUCAGAUUAGGUAGUUGGUGGGGUAAAGGCUCACCAAGCCAACGAUCUGGAGCUGGUCUGAGAGGACGACCAGCCACACUGGAACUGAGACACGGUCCAGACUCCUACGGGAGGCAGCAGUGGGGAAUUUUGGACAAUGGACGCAAGUCUGAUCCAGCCAUUCCGCGUGCAGGAUGAAGGCCCUCGGGUUGUAAACUGCUUUUGUACGGAACGAAAAGGUCUCUCUUAAUAUGGGGGGCUCAUGACGGUACCGUAAGAAUAAGCACCGGCUAACUACGUGCCAGCCGCCGCAGUAA